GUGAAAACCUUUAUGUCAUGCCAGAGGUUGGAGCAAGUGAAGAAGGAGGCACCAGAGCUGAAGCCCAUCAAACCAAAGCCACCAUGGCAUAUGAUUGGUGUUGACCUUAUUGGACCAUUCAAAGCCUCAAAGAAUGGGAACCGCUUCUGUCUGACAGCAACUGAAGAACUAGCCUCAUUACAAAGAUGUCCUAUUCUUAGAUCACAAAAUAUCUGCCACUUUGUUAAAUAAAUAUAUUUCCCCAUACUGUGUUUUUUCGUUUUUUUCAUUUUCAACUUUACCUUACUCAAAUUAAUGCUAAGGUUUAGCCCAAAAACCGACUACCGUAUUGGUCCGAAUAUAAGACGACCCUGAUUAUAAGACGACCCCCCGUUUUUCAACCAAACAUUUAGAAAAAAAGAUUGGCAGACCAGAUUUGCAGAACAAAUAACUUCAUUUUAUUUAAAAAUAACAAUAUUAAAAACCCAGUGAAUUAAACACUUGUUAUAUUAAUGACAAUAAUAAUAAUGCCAGUAAAGGCCACGGCACUUUCAAGGCAAAAUAUGUAGUACAUUAUGAUUCAAAAUGUAUAUCAAGCAAUAAUCAAGCAACAUGAAUGUUCUCAACUCAUUUUAAGGCAUAUAAAACAUUUCAGUACCAAGAUUCGGCUUCAGAUCAUUUUCUGGCAGGAGGGAAACGACCUAAAUGUCUUAUAUUUACCCAUGUCAAUGUGUUUCAGCUGGUAAUAGACACUGGAUGGGAUAUAAUCUAUGUAAUUUGAUGCUCUUGAAUGUUCUCAACUCAUUUUAAGGCAAAUGAAACAUUUCAGUACC